AUUUUUCCUUUCCUCUUCUCUCUUCCCUUCCUAAGCUCUGCUAGGGUUUUUUCUUUAACCCGUCGCCGGCGCGGCGGCCGUCANNNNNNNNNNCCCCCCCCUUAUUCUACCCCUAGAACGCGAUAAUGAGUAUGAAAAGUUCAAAAUCCUCACCAAACGUAGAUCGGAGGCAGUUUUCGAAGUUUUUCUUCUCUUCUUCUUUUUCGCUCUAACCUCCUUCUCUUUCUUUCUAUCCUCUGUUCUUUUUGUUUUCGUUUGGUUUCUGUGAUUGGAAAAUGGUGAGGUUGGUUUGAUGGUUGUUUUUUUUUAGAACGGUUGAAAAAAAAAAAAAGGGUUUGUUGCUGUGUUUGAGGUUGUGGGGUUGGUGGAGAUGCUAACUUGAUGCGUUUGUUUUUUUUUUUGUAAUAAUGAAAAAAUUAGGGUUUUGUUGUUAUUUGUUGCAGGUGCGGCUGUGACUUCUUCCUCUCUGAUUUCGUUUGGUUUCUGUUGUUUUAUACCCAAAUGUCUAGGGUUUGUGUUGAUGGGAAAGGGAAGGAUUGACUUCAAUUUUUUCUUGUUGAAAGUAUCAGUUCCGAAUGGGAAAAAAAGACAGUGUUUUCAGUUUUUGUUGUGCAGGUGUUGCAGUGGUUUUGACGUUUUGUUCUUGUCACUGGUGUUGCAGAAAAAAAAGAAAGAAGGGAAGGGAAAGAUCCUUUCUGGGUUGGAGAAUUUGCGCCUGACCUUUGCUGUUCUUGGACAAUUUGAUUUUUUUGAUUUUUUUUAAUAAAAAAAGAUGAAUAAAAUAAAAUAAAAUAAAAAGAAGAAAAGAAAAAAAAAAAAAGACAGAAAGAAGAAGAGAAAAAGAAAGGGCGCUUUUUUUUUGAGAAAUAAAAUAAAAAAAAUAAAAAUAAUAAUAUUAAUAAAUAAUAAUAAUAAUAAUGUUAAUAAUAUUGAUAAUAAUAAAAAAUAAGAAUAAAUAAUAAGAUUAAACAAAAG
rnacentral:lncRNA from 1 species